UUAAUUUAUUGCUGAUUAAAGGCACCCAUAUGCACAAAACAGCGCAUGUGUGACUGCAGUGCAGGCUUCCCCAUGUUGCCCCACCCAUGUGCCUCAAUCUUGACUUCAUCUAGACAAGAGAAGGUAGCUUAGUUUCUGUAUCUUUUAGUUCUUUGACCUU
rnacentral:sRNA from 1 species